UACGUAGGGUGCAGGCGUUAAUCGGAAUUACUGGGCGUAAAGCGUGCGCAGGCGGUUUCUUAAGUCAGAUGUGAAAGCCCCGGGCUUAACCUGGGAACUGCGUUUGAAACUGGGAGACUUGAGUGUGGCAGAGGCGAGUGGAAUUCCUGGUGUAGCGGUGGAAUGCGCAGAUAUCAGGAGGAACACCAAUAGCGAAGGCAGCUCGCUGGGACGGUACUGACGCUAAGGCGCGAAAGCGUGGGGAGCGAACAGG
rnacentral:rRNA from 1 species